GUCAUCCGUCUCUUUUGAAUUACAAGAAGAAAGAAGGAGAAGAAUGAGGAAGAGGAGAGGAGGUGGCACAGGGGAACAAGGCACCGUGAGCCCACCUCUUCAUUUGUAUGAGAGCAGCACUGUCACCAGCAUCCCUGUCUGGGAUAUGGGAUGUGUGUGUGUGUAUUCUUUUGCCAGUUAGAUCUUCAAAUUCACCCUGUUCUUCAAUUCCAGGAUGACAAAAGCCACUUGCAGGGUCUGGAGGGGAAGGCAGGGCCCUUUCUGGGGCCCCCUAGUUGCACCUGCCUGCUCAGCCCCCACCUCAUGACACCAAUCCUGCCUUCCUGCGCACCACAGGGAUGGGGAACUUCCCACCCCUGGAGAGGAGCAGCCGCAGAGAAGUCGCACUCAGGAUCCUGCACUUGCCAGGCAGAUGCUUGUAUCAGCGAGCUAAACCCCCAGCCCCUAGAGCCCCAGCCUAAUCAAGUGCUCUGUGGAGGAUGGUGCAAGGUGUGAGCAGGCUUUGCUUACACACCAGGAUGGGUGAGGAUAGCCCUGUCCCUGCACAGGAGCAGGGAGUCACAUUGGGGCCACUCUGGGUGGCAGAGGGCAGAAGUCAGAAGCAUCAGUUUGAGUGUGUAUGAGUGUUUUUCCCUUGAAAUAAAUUUCCCCAUAAAAUGAA